AUACCAACCAACACAGAUGUUUCUCUUUCUUCAUAUGAUGAUCAGGGAUCCAAACAUAUCCAAAAAGCUAAAGAGGCACCAUUUGUCCCCCAUUGGAAUAGCAGGUUUUGCAGCAAUUGUUGCAGUGGAUAUACAAAUUGAAGAACAGGAGAAAUAUUAAAAUGUCCCUUCACCUGAUCCACAUGCAUGUGGCAGCCCAAGGCUUUGUGAUGGGAACAAUGACUGUUGAUGUCAACUAUUCCAUGCACUGAGAAUUAUGGGCAAAACCUAAGCCUU
rnacentral:lncRNA from 1 species